rnacentral:lncRNA from 1 species
AAGUCCCAACGUCUGAAUACUGAUAUGAAGAGUAGAUACUAUUUUUAUUGGUUCUCUAUCUUUAACCUAUGACAAGUUGCAAUAAAUUCUUUUCCUCAAUUUGCUCUCCUACUUUUCUAGAUGUGACAUGCACCACAAAAUUAUCCCGGUAAAUUAAAAUUUGGAAUUUAUGGGCUCGCGAUACAUUGACUAUCCUUGUUAUGUUAUCCACAAGUUAUCUGGGUAACUAGCCUGAUGUAGUUUGAGGACCUAUACAAGCAUGUGUUUAGUCCAACAUUGGUUAUUUGCUCGGUAGAUAUUGGAUACUUAUACAGGAUAAAGAAACUCAAAUAAUACCUUUCGGCUAGUCUUUUUGAGUAAGGUCUUGGGUUAUAACAAAUGGUAUUAGAGCGGACCCAGCCUAUGGCCUAUGUGGACUAGAGGACACUGCAACAUGGAUAUAUUUGAGCUGACCAUGAGCUAAUCGUGGUGUUUGUGAUUGGAUUUGGAUUUUUAGCCUGGCGAGGACGUUAGGGCUUAAACGAGCGUAGUAUGUGAUGAUCCGUGUUGGCGUGUGUUUAGUCUCACAUCAGUUAUUUGCUAGGUAGAUCUUGAGUACUUAUAUAAGAUCAAUGAACCCAAAUAAUAUCUUUCGACUAGCCUUUUUGGGUGAAGUCUUGAGUUGUGAUUAAUGGUAUCAACUUGUGAGUUAUGGGUCCACCAUGCUUCCGCUGCCCCACUCUGAUAAUAUAUAAGUACCCAAGAUCCUGAGACUUAUGGAUUAAUCAUAACCCAGAACCUUACCCAAAAAGGCUAAUCAAAAAGUAUUAUUUGGGUUCUUUGAUUCUAUAUAAUUACUCAAGAUCUAUCCAGCGAAUAACUGAUGUGGAACUAAAUACACGCCUGCAUAGGUCAUCACAUGAGGCUGGUUAAAAACAGCAGGGGUGCUUUUGUUGGCAAGUUGGCAUAUCUAAUUCUUUGUGAUGUUUCUUUUAUCAUUCUUGUAACUCAAUAGUUAUUAUGAUUUUAUUCUUCAUGAAGUUAAAGUUGAUUGUUAUGGAGUCCAUCAUCAGUAUAAAUCUAAAGAUUUUGGGAUUUAAUUGAAAUGUUU